GGCCGCGGGAAUUCGAUUCAGGCUUAACUCAUGCAAGUCGAGCGGGGUUUUCGGACAUAGAAAAGGACGGGUGAGUAAUGCGUAGGAAGCUGCGCGAUAGAGGGGGAUUCCAGUUGGAAACGACUGUUAAUACCACAUAAUGUCUACGGACCGAAGUGUGGGACCUUCGGACCACAUGUUAUCGGAUGCGCCUACGUGGGAUUAGGUAGUUGGUGAGGUAAUGGCUCACCAAGGCGAUGAUCUCUAGCUGGUUUGAGAGGAUGAUCAUCCACACUGGAACUGAGACACGGUCCAGUCUCCUAUGGGAGGCAGCAGUGGGGAAUAUUGGACAAUGGUCGCAAGCCUGAUUCAAAAGGGCCGCGUGUGAAGAAGUCCUUCGGGUUGUACUUUAAAGGAAGCGAGGAGGAAGGGUGAUGUGUUAAUAGCACAUCAUUUGACGUACUCGCAGAAG
rnacentral:rRNA from 1 species